CUCGUUUCGAUUUAUUUGCUUUUAUAUAUAAAUAUAAAUAUGGAUUUACUAUGAAAUGAACCUUGAAAGGUUUAAAAAUCUACUAAUGGAAAAUUGGGAACCAGAUUAAUUUCUAUGAUAUACAGUCUAUGCACUUCGUUGCUCGUUGGAAGUUGGCCAUGUGUUCUGACCUUGUCAAAACCCUACGAUAAGGUGAUUACAAUCGAUUAUAUAUUUGUUUUAUAAUCCCAUAUAGUAGUGACAUCUACAGUACAAAAUCAAUGUUUGUGGACUGUGGUUUUUGUUUUACCUAGCCAAUUACUUUGGCAAGAUAAGAUAUUGAUUUGAUUGUGUUUACUGUACGCAGGCACAAUGUAAAUAUAAGCUCUAUAUAUAAAACAAUAUCGAGUUUCUGGCUGGUUUAUAUCUAGAUGGGAUACAUUUUAAACUCAAGGGCGUAAUAGGGGGGGGGGGGCAUAUUCAUGUUCACAGAGCGUUAGAACAAUCGCUUUCAAAAGAAAUGAAUGAUGCAGAAUACAAAUAUAUGAAUAUCACCCACCCCCCAUAUCAACUAAAG